rnacentral:tRNA from 1 species
CCAUAGCUCAACUGGAUAGAGUACUUGACUACGAAUCAAGCGGUUAGAGGUUCGACUCCUCUUGGGCGCA